rnacentral:rRNA from 1 species
UACUCCUACGGGGGGGCAGCAGUGGGGAAUAUUGCACAAUGGGCGCAAGCCUGAUGCAGCCAUGCCGCGUGUAUGAAGAAGGCCUUCGGGUUGUAAAGUACUUUCAGCGGGGAGGAAGGCGAUGGGGUUAAUAACCGCGUCGAUUGACGUUACCCGCAGAAGAAGCACCGGCUAACUCCGUGCCAGCAGCCGCGGUAAUACGGAGGGUGCAAGCGUUAAUCGGAAUUACUGGGCGUAAAGCGCACGCAGGCGGUCUGUUAAGUCAGAUGUGAAAUCCCCGGGCUUAACCUGGGAACUGCAUUUGAAACUGGCAGGCUUGAGUCUUGUAGAGGGGGGUAGAAUUCCAGGUGUAGCGGUGAAAUGCGUAGAGAUCUGGAGGAAUACCGGUGGCGAAGGCGGCCCCCUGGACAAAGACUGACGCUCAG